rnacentral:lncRNA from 1 species
AUAUAUAUAAAAAUAUGGUUUGUAAAAAUAAAUUUCUUCUGAACAUGAUAGAAAAUUUUAAUAUAAUUUUAAAUUUUAAAUUAGAAUUUUAUAAAUGCCAACUGAUACGCGGAAUGAUCCGGUCAUUUUUGUCAUUUUAUGGGAGCCAUAAAUUAUUAGGAGAUAAUAAUAAUAAUUAUAGUAAAAUUCUGUUUGAAUUAGAAUUUGUGUUUUUUUUUUUUUUUUGAGAGAUAGGUAGCACGCUACCCGCUUCGUUUAUUUUAUUUAUAAAUAAAUUUAGCUGAAAAUGUGAAUCAACUAGGAUUCGAAUUUGGAUUUCGGGUACCAAUCACCAAGCCUUUGCCAUUUAUUUUAGGGAUGUUCGGUGAAUUAGAUUUUGUAUUAAGUUAGAAUAACGAGGUCUUUGUGAGUUAUAAUAAUAUAAUAUACUGAUCUUAUGUAGCGUGGUUGGCUAAGAGUUUCAUUGUUGAUAUCUAAAAUUUUAAUGUUGAAGU